rnacentral:tRNA from 1 species
GGGUGAUUAGCUCAGCUGGGAGAGCAGCUGCCUUACAAGCAGCGGGUCGGCGGUUCGAGCCCGUCAUCACCCACCA